GGUGUGAUUCAUGACUGGGGUGAAGUCGUAACAAGGUAGCCGUAGGGGAACCUGCGGCUGGAUCACCUCCUUAAU
rnacentral:rRNA from 2 species